rnacentral:sRNA from 1 species
GAGGAAAACUGUUACCAGGAUAACCUGUGAUGGGCAAGGAGCCACAAAGAAGAAAACAUUUCUUUUAAUUUUUAAACUUGGUUUGAAAGGUAUCCAAAUAUAUCUUGUGAGUUGCUCACUUCCGAUGUCUCCCAGAUGAAUGAUAGACUGGGAGAAGAUGAAUCCUUGCUAAUGAAAUUAUAUAGCUUCCUCCUAAACGAUUCCCCUUUGAAUCCACUACUUGCCAGUUUCUUCAGCAAGGUGCUAAGUAUUCUUAUCAGCAGAAAACCAGAACAGAUUGUGGAUUUCUUAAAGAAGAAGCAUGAUUUUGUAGACCUUAUUAUAAAGCACAUAGGAACUUCUGCUAUCAUGGAUUUGUUGCUCAGGCUCCUGACGUGUAUUGAACCUCCACAGCCCAGGCAAGAUGUGCUGAAUUGGUUAAAUGAGGAGAAAAUUAUCCAGAGGCUUGUGGAAAUAGUUCAUCCAUCGCAAGAAGAAGAUGUAAGUUCACUUGUGUGACUGUAAACGUGAUUA